GACGUAGGGGACGAGCGUUGUCCGGAUUCAUUGGGCGUAAAGCGCGCGUAGGCGGCCACGCAAGUCGGGUGUGAAAUCCCGGAGCUCAACUCCGGAACUGCACUCGAAACUGCGCGGCUUGAGGUAGGUAGGGGAGAUCGGAAUUCCUGGUGUAGCGGUGAAAUGCGCAGAUAUCAGGAGGAACACCAAUGGCGAAGGCAGCUCGCUGGGACGGUACUGACGCUGAGACGCGAAAGCGUGGGGAGCAAACAGG
rnacentral:rRNA from 1 species